UGAGUUACAAUAAAAUUUAAGCUUCUAACUUAAAAAAGCGGCUAAUAAGCCGCAAACUCUU
rnacentral:tRNA from 1 species